rnacentral:rRNA from 1 species
GAUGAACGCUGGCGGCGUGCCUAAUACAUGCAAGUCGAGCGAACAGACGAGGAGCUUGCUCCUCUGACGUUAGCGGCGGACGGGUGAGUAACACGUGGAUAACCUACCUAUAAGACUGGGAUAACUUCGGGAAACCGGAGCUAAUACCGGAUAAUAUAUUGAACCGCAUGGUUCAAUAGUGAAAGACGGUUUUGCUGUCACUUAUAGAUGGAUCCGCGCCGCAUUAGCUAGUUGGUAAGGUAACGGCUUACCAAGGCAACGAUGCGUAGCCGACCUGAGAGGGUGAUCGGCCACACUGGAACUAAGACACGGUCCAGACGCCUACGGGAGGCAGCAGUAGGGAAUCUUCCGCAAUGGGCGAAAGCUUGACGGAGCAACGCCGCGUGAGUGAUGAAGGUCUUCGGAUCGUAAAACUCUGUUAUGAGGGAAGGACAAAUGUGUAAGUAACUAUGCACGUCUUGACGGUACCUAAUCAGAAAGCCACGGCUAACUACGUG